UUAAUUUGUUCUUCAUUCUCAUACCUAAGCUAAGGAAGGUAGACCGAAAAUAGUUCUUUAAUUUCUCCCUAAUUUUCCCAAAUUCAAAGUGAAAGAAAGGGUCGCGAGGCUGAAUGUUCACAAAAUCUUCCCAGAUUCAUAAAAUCUCCAUGUUUCACAAAGAAAGGAAGUAGACGAAGGUGGUUAAGGCGGUGGCGGAGGCUGACUGUUGGAGCAGUGGAACUUCAGGCGGUGGAAGGUUGCUGGAGCGCCGUAACUGCGAAUAUUCAUCUUGCAUGUCGCUGAUUGCUCGAAACUCUGUUUAAGGUCUAUUUUUGUGUCUGAGAAGAUGGUCGUAGGAGUGGGAUUCGACUGCCUUUGGGUUCCUGCUUCACGAGUAGAUUAUAAAGUUCUGUUCUUUUUAUAUCCAAGUGCACAUCGUAUAAUUACCGGUGCAUGGCGAGCUAGAUGGAGAUGAAUGAAGUACAAUGAUUAUAUAUUGUCAUCCAACAAAUGGAGCGUACACGUCGGUGACUAAUUUUAUUUAGUUCGAGCUUGUGAAGAUUAGGAUUUGUAUUUUGGAAGAAUUUUAAUUAGUAAACUUUUAUUAUUUAUUAUUAGUUAGUAUCGAUAGUGUAACAUAUAUAUGGAAACAAUAUUUUGUAAUGUAACGUACAUAUUAUAUAUACUUCGUUUAUUGU